GUUUGAUUCUCAACACCCAUAUGGUGGCUCAUAACCUUUUGCAACUACAUUUUCAGAGCCACAUACCAGGUAUGUGCGAGCCCACACACUGAGGGACACACACACACACACACACACACACACACACACACGUUUUCUAAGUCACUGUUCUAUAGCUGUGAGGAGACACCAUGACCAAGGCAACUCUUACUGAAAAAUAAUGAUAGUAAUUUAUCCUAGAGCAUCUAGCCCAGCAGUUCUCAGCCUUUGGGUUAUGACCCCUUUAGUGGUUGAAGGACCCUUCCACAGGGGUCAUCAACAGUAACAAAAUCCCAGUGAUGAAGUAGCAAUGUAAGUAGUUUUGUGGUUGGGGGAGGGUCACCCCAACAUGAGGAUCUGCCUUAAAGGCUUGCAGCAUUAGGGAGGUCAAGAAGCACUGCCCAGCCUUUCUUUCGGUGCUACUGAUAUUCCCCUUUAUAGAGAAGGAAACAGUGAUUCUCCUAGUAGGCUUUGCCUGGUUGUUGGCAGAUGCACGUCCUCCAGCAGCACUGCUGGUAACUUCUUCCCCUGGGGCCUUUGAGUGGCCGGAGUGAGUAGAGAGACAAAAGGCGCUCAGCCUUAGGCACCAGUGAACUGCUGUCACUAUGCUUUCUGAUCCACUUUCCCUACACCUUGGGGCUCCAUAGAGAGAACCCUAAUGUCACUGAAGCCUGAACACUCCAGAACAGUGACUCCUGUCACUGAGAAAAGGCAGCAUGAAAGGCUAAAGAUUUCUGAACUCCCUUCCUCCAAUAAUCUGCCCAUCACACAGAGGUGGGGAGUGGCCCGUGGUCCUGCCAAGAACUCAAGGUCGCACUCACAGAAGGACUGCCACUCAGCCAUCAGUAAAACUGUGAAACCACAGUGCACGUGGGACUGGGCCUAAAAAUACGAACUGGAAUCUCCAAGAACAUUCUGGAAGCCUGAGAUAAAUCCCAGGGGGCCAAGCUGCCCAGCUGUCCCCCCUCAGGUGAUCAUCGGUUUGCAUGUAGAUUUUUCUCUAGCCAUUGAUUCGUUUUAGUAUUUUUGAGACCUAAGCUCCUCAGGGAGUUUUUCAUCCUCUGUAAUCAGAGCGCUUCCUCCUGAGCCUUUGGGGACAGCUCCUCCCAGGCUCAGUGCAGAGACAGCAGAAAGAAGACAGCAGGAAAUCUUUGCACAGCCUGGCUGCUUGGGCUUCGGAUGGUGGAGUGACCUCUGAAACCGAGGUUGGGCCUGCAGAGUUAGCUCCUAUGCCCAAGAUCCCACGCAUCCUUGGUCUCCACAGAGCCCACAGCAGUCUGCUGUGUCAGCUUCCUGACACUGGUCACUGGUGUGCCACUAGGAGCCCUUCCAAACAGAUGUGUUCCUUCCUGCAAACCCCUGUGCUGCAAACAUUUGGCAAACCUGCCCACAUUGGUUGCUCCCUGUGUACCCCUUCCAGGGGGACCCCUGAGACCAACAGCAGACACACCCUGCCUUGCCUUCUUUGCAAUUUCUGCAAUUUCCCUAACCCCGUUUUUAGCUCUGUGGGGCUAGCCUGGGAUUCACUUCUUCUAGUUGCUGUUCAUGUCUGACGCUACAGCAAGGGAACACAGUUCUGGGGGUAGUAGGAUGUGACAUGCAAAGAUUAAUCAGAGUGUUUAGAACAUCCAUUGCUUAAAAUGGUCAAGGUUUCUUUGUGGUAAGAGCAUCCAAAACCCUUUCUUCUAGCUCUCUUGAAUGAAGAGUGCUUUAUGGUUGACAGCAGUCACUUUGUUAACAGAAGUUUCUGGGUCUUAGCCCGUGGAACUGUAACCUUUUAUCUGUUGAUCCAUUGACCUCCAUGCUACCUAGUCCCAGCCUGCUUUAUGCCACCAACUGCUCCAGAGUCCUCGAGGUGGGUCAUGUGGAGUCUAACUUUUUGAGUCUGGCUGGUUUCACUUAGGUCCUCCGCAUUCAUUCUUGUUAUGGAAAUUGACUUUUGGCUUCUUUUUUUUUUUUUAAUUUUUAAAGUCACUGUCUGGUGUAGAGAUAUACAUCUUCAAUCUGGCACUCAGGAAGCAGAAGCAGGUAGGCAGAUCUCUGUGAGUUUGAGGCCAGCUUGGUCUAUAAAGUGAGUUCCAGGACAGCCAGAGCUAUACACUAUGACUCUUAAAACAAAACAAAACAAAACAAAACAAAGC
rnacentral:lncRNA from 1 species